rnacentral:rRNA from 1 species
GUCUUCUUGAUAUAUAUUUUGAAGUCUGGCCUGCUCACUGAUAUAAUUUAAAGAGCCGCGGUAAUUUGACCGUGCAAAGGUAGCAUAAUCAUUAGUCUCUUAAUUUGAGGCUGGAAUGAAUGGUUUGACGAAAAAUCAACUGUCUCUUAUUAAAUUUUUGAAUUUAACUUUUGAGUUAAAAGGCUUAAAUUUAUCUUUAGGACGAGAAGACCCUAUAGAGCUUAACAAAUUAAUUUAUUAUUUAUUUUGGUGAAUAUUUUAUUUAAUUUUUUAAUUUGUUUUGUUGGGGUGACGUGAAGAAUAAAUAAACUCUUCAUUAUAAAUUCAUUAAUUUAUGUUUUUAUGAUCCAUAAUUUAUGAUCAUAAGAUUAAGUUACCUUAGGGAUAACAGCGUAAUUGUUUUUGAGAGCUCUUAUCGACAAAGCAGAUUGCGACCUCGAUGUUGGAUUAAGAUUAUUUUUGGGUGCAGUAGCUCAAUAAUUAGGUCUGUUCGACCUUUAAUUUCUU